GGGGUGCAGGAUUUGCUCGUGUGUUUCAAGUUGAAUACUGGGUAGAUGGAGGAGAUGUGCCACGGCAGGCUACUGUGGUGGUGAGAUUCAGGUCUAAGUCGGGCCUACCUGAAGAGCAAGAAUAUAAAGCUUUUGAACUUAGGCACAUGACUCAAGCCCCCAGAAUCCGAUGGUCUACUGAGCCAGUUUUAUGCUGGGCGAGGAAGGGUGGAACAGUGAACCUUGCCACACAACGGCACCCCCUUCGCCUGAUGACCUUUUCCAAUCACGAUGACCUCCCGUCGCUGCUGAAGGAAUUGGAAACAGUACUCGAGGAAUUGUGAUAUAUGGCAAGGGGGGUGAUGUCUAUGGAAAUGAUCGUUGAGCGUUAUGAUACAUAUGGUGCGAAUCUAAUGUCUUUCGUCAAGACAUGCAACAAAGUGAAGUUAUGAAGUUCUGGUCAAUUUAGCUUAUUCAUAAUGCUUGGACCAUUAGAUCUUAGUUACUAUUUUGUUUUGCAUUUCAAACUUCCUAGAUAGAUCACAGUGAUGAAUGUAAUUUUGAUGCUACUCUUCUGAUAUUAUG